GACCUAAACCAAUGACUUCGGUCGCUGGCAUGGUUUCAAAUCGUAGUGCAUAGAGAACCCGUCAUUCAGGGCGUGCACUACGUUAUACAGGGAAACUUGUAUAGGGCCGCAAGGCCU
rnacentral:sRNA from 12 species